rnacentral:misc_RNA from 1 species
AGGAGUGUCGUAGAACUCGUAGAGAUGCGGGAGAGAACGCGAGCCUGAUUUCCGAUUGCGGAGUGACUGUUGUUUGUGUGGUUAAAUCAGAUUGGAUCAAGCUGGAACGGGAAAACGGAAAAGGAAACUGACGCAACGACCACGACGAUAAAGAAGGAAGAAGAGUAUCGAGAGCACGCGGAAUGCAAGUAUACGAAUACGGUGCUUCCCGAGACACGUAGACGUAGCGGUGUGUUGUACAUACAUACACGUCCCUCAGACGGACCUCGCCCGCGGCGAGAGGACUUGAGUUCCUGAGAGUUUUGGCGUGGAGACGUGCGGGAAACGCAACGGCGAGACAAACUCGGCCAGGGUAAUCCAAUUCGGUCUGGCAGUGCCGUAAAGAGGAGCCGCGAGAAGACAAAUAAACAACGGCCCGAAGUCCGCCAUUUUGAAUAGAGAGGAGUCGUUAUUGUCGUGCUGGGGAGCGAGUGGAACGUACCGCUUUUCCGUUUCCGUAUCAGAGAGUAGGCCGCGUGAGGUGAAGGCGGAAGUAGGAGGAAGAAGGAUACUGAGCUAAGGUGGCUAACGGUCACCGGAUGUGGUCGAAUUUGCGGGGAACGCGCACUGGGAGGACCGCGAGAGAAGAGGAACUUGAGGCGAGGUAGCAUCGCGCUAACAGGUCCCCGGGGUGCCCCACCGCACUUAUCCCACCGCGUCGUCACCGUCGUCGUCCCCACCACCGCUCUGCCCUGGAUACUGUGAUUAUUGCGCAGUUGGAAAAAUUGCUGAGCAGGGACGCGGGACGUCGUCCACGAGAGGCAAUUCGUGAGCGUUUACCGGCCAACGAGUUGGCUGAAUAACGAGGGGAUAUUAGAAAAGUGAAACAGAGAGAAAUAGAUAGAUAGACAAACAUCCGAGCCAUGACGAACUCCGCGCCCAAGUUAGAUAACGCUAAGGUGGAUCGGCAAGCCUCGCCGAAGGUCGGGUAUCAGUACCAACACAACCAUCAUCAUAAUCGUUCUAACAGUAAAUCCUCGCCGUUCCUAUACAAGAACGGUCGCCAUACGGUUAGAAAUGCUAAAGAUGGACGGCAGAGCUGCAGCCCGUACAGCCCGUCGUCCAAGAGCGCGAGAAACUCGCCACAACAACAGCAGCAGCAACAGCCACAGCAACAACCAGCAGCAGCAGCAGCAGCAGCAGCAGCAGCAGCAGCAUACACAGCAGCAGCAUACACCGCAGCAGCAUACACCGCAGCAGCAGCAGCAACAACAACGUUGCGAACAGCGCAGUCCAAGCAGCAGCCCGACCAACAACUUCUACGCGGGCGCCAAGUUCUCGGAAACACCGUCGCCCGCGAGUGUGCCCAAGCCGCCAAGACAUUGGACGAGCAGAUUGAUGGACAGCUGCGGUCAAUCGGACAGCGCAAGCGAACACACGAGGCAAUUGCGUAUAGUGCUGAACGUCCAAGCCUGAUACCCAAAAACCAACGUAUAUACCAGCAACGCGCGAGGGGAGAAGCGGCGACCGUCAACAGCUCCGGAAGAAUCAGGUACAAUAGGGAAUUAUCGUCGAUAAAAUCAUCGGCCGAAAAGACUGCGAGAAUAAGAGAGACGAUGAUACCGACGAUGAUGAGAAAAAAAUGUGAAGAUUAUGAUGACGACGAUGAUGGUGACACCGUGUGCGGUUCAUAUACACACGGGUUUUCGAUUUUAUCGCGCGAGUGGAUACUCGUAAUCCGUUCUUUAUUCUAAGAUACAUCCAGCAUACAAACUUCAAAUCGUAUAUAAACUAUGCACCGCGGGGGGGAGGGCUGACGACGCGAUGCAUCGGUGCAUCCCGAUGCCGCGAUCGAUGUGUGCGCGCGAGAGAUACAUUAUAUAUGUAUAUAUAUGCGUUCUGGAACUCCCAUCACGCGCCAUCAUUGUGACAAAAUGUAAGUAAUACUGUAUUUUAGAUUAUCGUAUACCACUAAACUUACAAAAAGGAACACAAGGAGAGCCUCACGUACAUACAUAUAUAUAUUAUCUAUAACAUCCGACACACACAGAAAGAAAGAGUACAUCCUCAGUCUGACGAGACGACAAGCGCGGACGAGCGAAGUUACGCUUCGCGACUUUUUGUCAAACGAUGGACUUCAAUAUCGACGCGUUGAAAAAAAAAAAAAAGAACAAGCGUCCGAUGAUUUUUUUCGUGACCGCUUUUUCCAAAGCGACUUUUGAAAGCUCGCGCUUCAUGCCGUUCUCGAGACACCCGGUGUUCGAAUACACGUUUUUAUUAUCCCCUCGUGCUCUAAUCGUCGGCACUAGAGACAAAGAUCCGUAGCACGGAAAUGCUGGACAAGCAAUUAUUUAAUAGCCGCCCGACUAAUGAUCGUUAUCAGUAUACUUCUUUAUUAACAGUUUCUUUCGCGAGCUUUAUCAUUUUGGUAUUAUGGAUUGUAAAAAGACAUGGCUUCGUAUAAGAGAUUUAUUUCAGGCAGCUUUUUUUUUUUUUUAAUUUCCGUUUACUUUUCUUUUUCAUUUUUUUUAUUGGGAAUAUUUUUUAUUUUCUUGCUAUUCUGCUACUAUCUGCCAAUAGUUACUGUUUACGUGAGAUAGGUGUAUAAGAUUUUGAGUUUCUUAGUGCGUGUUACGCGAGUGGGUUAAUUGAACGUGACCGACAUGAUAAAAAAGGAAGGGGAUCGGGAGAAAUUUGAAUGAGAGGCGAGGAUCAAAUGGAUGCUUUGUUCGUUUCGCGAAUGCAUCAUGAUGAUCAUCAUAACACAUUUGCGGAAAAUUCAUAUUUCGACCACUCUUCUCGUGCUCUCGAUUUUCGGCAUGUUUCAACAAAAUUAAUUAAUUGCAUGUAAUGUAAAUUUAAGAGUUAUUUUUACAAUAACACAAAGAUAGAGAAAGAAAGAGAGAAGAUUUGUCAGAUUUUUCCGUUGAAAACGGAGUCACUAAUUUAUAAUCUUUCUUAUCUCGAUUCAUAAGAUUUCAAUCUAUGCUCGUUGAGCAUCGCGAUAACUGUUGUUACAUUUGAAAAAUUUAAGUACUAACUAUUCCAAUGCUUUAUUUAGACGCGGAUAUCGAGGACAAAGACUUUUAAGAGGGCAAAGAACAUUAGCGUCGUGACUGUCAUGAUUUAAGUAACACCGGAUUGUUUCUUCUUAGAACGCAAUCGUAGCCGUAAAAGACAGGAUGACGAUAUUUAAAGGGCAGUACGCGGUUGCGUCCCUAAGGGACCGAGAUUAAUAAGUAAAUUAAAAGCAGGAACAGCCGUUAAUGGUAACUUAACCCGUCCUUGAAGAGUUGUCCUUCGUGCGAGUUUCUUGAGAUCGUUUUUUGUGCUAACAGGUAUAGGAAGAAGGGUAGUCUGAACUUUUUCGUUGUUUACAAUGCUUUACGGGCGCAAUUGUCAUAUCAAACUCGCACCACACUUCUAUCUAUAUACUGGACACAGUAAACGGACUUAAUAUAUAUAUGGUAACGAUAACAAUAAUAUUUAAGGGUAAAUAAAUAACAAUAGUAGUAAGCUAAGGCCUUAAUGAUAUAAUAGCGUGGAGAAUACAAUCGAUUUGACAUUGCACAAUCAAAUCGAUAGUGUGGUUUUCGUCAGUUUAGAUUUAGAUUUGCAAACUUUAAAAUUUGUGUGUUAUCUUCGUUUAUCUUUUUUUUUUCUUAUUUUGUAAGCAAAAUUAUUUCAUGCCACAGACUGAGCAAAAUUCUUUGACGUAGUAUUUUAAUUAAUGUUUAUUUUUUUUUUUUAAGUUUUCUGAUAACAUGCAAUAAUUCUUUUGCAACAUUUAUAUCCACCUAUUUUCUCUUCUUACAUCAAAUUGCUUUCUUUGGUAGGCGAUUAGUCUUAGGUAAGAAUAAGUUUAUGAGACGGGUGUGAAUGUGGGAUGAGCGUGAAUGAGUAGAAAAACGCAAAAUCGAUAGAGACCGAUAUCAAAACGCGCGAUUUCGAUUUUUUCGAUUGCUCGCUCCGUAUUUAUAGUUUUGUAAGGUGAAAAAUCCUCGAACGGUAUCUAACAAACACACGAUCGUGCGUUGAAGUAACGAUCGGCUGAUUUGAUCUACACAUGACGUCGAAAAUUGUCGAAGGAAGACAUGUUUCUACACGGACAGAGAGACAACGGAUGUAAAUUGUUUAUCGGAUGUAAAUCGAUCGAUGUGCGCGAGACGUUCCCUUUCAUUUUUUUUUGUCCAUUCUCAACAUCGUACCGGGUUCAAGAGAGAGGAAAUCGAUAACCUCAGGAUUAACAUAUGCGGAGAAAGUUUGGCAACUUGCUUUCCGUUUGCCCUCGCAGUUCGAUUUAGAUGCGCAAGAAUUACGAAUCGUCACAGUACAGUUUUUUUUCUUUUUCGUUUUUUUUUUUACAGCUUUCACAUUCAAAAUUUAAUUUGCUCGCCGUUCGCGGCGAUAACGAAUUCGUGCACGUGUCUUAACACGAGAAUCGAUGAAGGAGAACGAACUGAUCGUGUCGGAAUUUAAUUCUACGUGACCGUACAAAGAGCUAAAACGAUUAAAUUGUAGAGUAGAGUGAGUGCAAAUCUGUUUUGCAUUACAUUGCCCUUUUCUUUUGUUCUAUUUUUCGAUUCUUUUUUUUAUUCUUUCGUGAGUUGGACAACAACGCACUGAAUGAUACCGAUUAAUGUCUUGGAGGCCAAGAUAUCAUUCCAGUAUUGUUCCACGUGUUGUUGACCAACUUGCGAUUGUAAAUCAAAAUCGUCUUUUGAAAACGUUGGAUAGUGUAGUGUGUUAGUGCUACACAAACAGGGAUCUUUAAGGAAGUGGUUUUGGAGUGACGUUACGAGAGUUCGUAACACUUCAAAUGAUGCAUAUAUAUAUAUAUAUAUAAAAUGUGUAUGUAUUACACAAUCUGAAUUGAAAAUUUGGCGGACUAAUUAUCGGAAAUUGUCAAGCUGGGAGCUUGUUAAUCUAAUACUUAAAGUCUCGAUCAGAUUGGAACGAUUCUAAUACGUAUCCGCGUAUGCACUUAUUUGCACAGCUUCCGACUUGAUUUGUGACGGACAAAUCAGUUCCUUGGAUAGAAUCCUAUGGAAUUGUCUAUACCACAUUAUUUGUAUAUUUUUUGCAUUGCUUUUUAACGAAGCGUAUUGCAUUAUUUUAAACGCCAUAUAUAAAAUUUGUGCUGUUAUAUUUUUUUUAAGCAUUUAUCUUUUAUAUAUGUUGAUUGUUGCUUUUCGUAGACGCUUUUUCCGUAUACGGUUCGCGCGAACAAUAGUGAUUGUAAGAGCGGGCAAGUUGUUUCUAUGAACAAUUUUGAAAAAUCGUUUAAUCGUAAUAGGCUUUCUACAAUAAUAGGCUUUUUACUGUUUACUUUAAGCUUUAAGGGCAGAGUCUUGCAUAACGUAUAAUGCAGAAGGAAAUGAAUUAAAGUCCUUUAUUUUCUUUUUACAAAAUAAAAGACUAGUGAUUCUCUUGUGCUUUAUGCAAAAGUCUGUGCUCCUUAAGUCUCAAAAAUGGACUGGAUCAUAGUCGAUUAGUCUUUCGAUUAUAACUUUCAAUUUCUUAAGACUUAAAGCUUAAAUAGUGAUUUAUUGUAGAACGUGUGUAAGAGUCUUCGAAUCAGUCACGAUAGCUAAGUCAACGCGUGAUUAGAAGGAGAGAUCUUGAUCGAUUCAGGGUUGAUAUAUAUCGUCAUGGUCUCAGAAUUCGCGGUAGAUCUUUGGGGCGAGAAAAACGAAUUAAACACUGCCGUCCGGUGAAAGAAAGGGAUACAGAAGGAUAUACGGAACAAGUGAAAACGUGUGUAUCUGUUGUCGCGAAGACAAGACGCUUGCGCCAGAAUAACAAUGUGUAAAUAUCAGCUGCGUGAACGUGAAAAUUGUAGCUUCGAUAAGGGGAAGAAAAGGAGUAUCUUCCGAGUAAAGUUCGAUCGGGUUGAACAGUACAAACGUUCUCGUCCUGUUCCUUGAAAUUUCAGGAACGCGUUGCUAAACAAAAAUUUGAAUACUCGUGUUGAGAGCCACGUGUAAUCGGGAUGUUUCGGAGGACGGUAAUGAGCGCCAGACUCGAUUUUUUUUCUUAUCGAUCUUUUUACAGCGCGAACGUAGAACCGGUAAAAAAGAAUACGCGAUGAGAGAGAGAGAGAGAGAGAGAGAGAGAGAGAGAGGGAGAGAGAGAGAGAGAGAGAGAGAGAGAGGGGAGAGAAGGAGAGAGAGGGAAAAGAAAGAGAAUGAGAGAGCAUUGUUUAUACAUACCGAAGCACUCAUGGUCCAAACAUUACGAACGAUCCGCAGCUUCAAAAAAGGCGAAAAACGGCGCGAAAUUCUCGUUUUUCUUUUUCUCCGCGAUUAUUACUCGAUCGAUUCAUUCCUCGGCGAUGACAGCAUUGUUGUAUUAUACAUUCCUUCAAUCUUCUUUUUCUUCUCUCCACAAAUUCUUGCCGUUAUCGCAUUCGAUACUAAAUUACGCCCGUGCCUCUUUUUCGCAUCGCUCACCGUCUUGCCCGACGUUAAAAAUCUGCUUUCCUUCUUCUUUUUUUUUUUUUUUUAAAUUAGUUUUUAAGACUUCGUUUUACGGAGAGCAAAAGAAUAUAAUUCGAGGCACAAACUUCACGAUCUCAAUCGUUCCGCGAGUUUUUCACCUCGCGGACACGAUUCUUCUCAGGGUCGAGUAAGCGGGCGGACGCGACGCGACGCAUCCGUCAUCAUCCGGAAUCAUUUCCGGAAGGGCAAGCUAAAAAUGUCACAAGACAUAGAAUUGCGAAUUGGCGAAUUUACGACAUAUUCGUUUUCGAACCCGUCAGAUUCUACAACUCUUUAACGACUGUGUUGUUGAUGGGUACUUUCCAUUUGACGUCAAACAUUGUUCUGUCUUUGUAAUUAACACAAAUAUCGUUCUAUCCUCGAUACUCGUGAAAUACAAAGAAAGAUAGAACGACGUUUGUGUCAGCAAUGUCCAGUUUCUACCAGUGAUUAAUUUUAAUCUCGUUUCGACUUACUCUUCAUCUUUGAAUUCUUAGAACUGGAAAAAGAUGAAGAUUGAGUCACCUUGAACUAUGAUUAAAAUUAAACUACAUCGGUACUGUUAGGUAGAAACGAGCAUGAAUGGAAAGCGUUCAAUCUUUCGUUCUCAUGAACGGGUUAUUGGAGCGCCGCGGUCGCUUCCGGUCGUUUACGCGAGCCCGUGCGUCAGAGCCGGUGAAUUAGAAAUCGUUCGAUUAAUUAAAAGACAUCUCGAGGGGCUAAUUAAUUCGUUUAUAAGCGGUUGGUGACACGCUUGUCAACACGUUUGUGGCAGGAGGAAGGAGCUGUUCGCCGCUUGCCAGAGCGUUUCGCGCGCGUCCUCCGCCGGAGGAUCGACGGGGAAGACCCGUCGACGUGACAAUAUAUACACGAUAUAUGUAUUCUUUUUAUCCUUCCUCCCGCCACCGCGUGUGAACAAUUCGGUAAAACGGAGCAGCGCGAUGCGACGAUGCGAGAGACUCGUUAGGGGAGAGGAUUUAAUUUUACGCAAUUCGUGCGCCUCGCGAGAGAGGAAAGUUGCCUCUCCUUCAAACUAGAGACUCUUUAAUAAGAGGCUGGACAUGGGGAAACUUUGAAUUGAUCCGCUAUGUUUUUAACAAUUUCUGGAAGAG